rnacentral:tRNA from 1 species
GCUAGCGUGGCAGAGCCCGGCAAAAAUGCAAAAGGCUUAAGCCCUUUACCCAGAGGUUCAAAUCCUCUCUCUAGCU